AGAGUUUGAUCCUGGCUCAGGACGAACGCUGGCGGCGUGCCUAACAUAUGCAAGUCGAGCGAUGAAAUCCUCCGGGAUGGAUUAGCGGCGGACGGGUGAGUAACACGUGGGUAACCUGCCUCAAAGAGGGGAAUAGCCUUCCGAAAGGAAGAUUAAUACCGCAUAAUAUGUUUGGGUCGCAUGACUAGAACAUCAAAGGAGCAAUCCGCUUUGAGAUGGACCCGCGGCGCAUUAGCUAGUUGGUGAGGUAACGGCUCACCAAGGCGACGAUGCGUAGCCGACCUGAGAGGGUGAUCGGCCACAUUGGAACUGAGACACGGUCCAGACUCCUACGGGAGGCAGCAGUGGGGAAUAUUGCGCAAUGGGGGAAACCCUGACGCAGCAACGCCGCGUGAAUGAUGAAGGCCUUCGGGUUGUAAAGUUCUGUCUUCUGGGACGAUAAUGACGUACCAGAGAGA
rnacentral:rRNA from 1 species